UUAGGAAAAUGGAGGAAGGAGGGAAGAUCAAAGUUCCAGAGAACUCCAUUUCAGGUUUUUAAACAUAAUACCUUGCCUUGGAGGAAGGAGAGAAGAGUGGAGUUUCAGAGACCUUCAUUUUAUAGUUUUUAACCUGCCACGCCUUCAGAAAAAGAAGGAAGGAAGCAAAAAUCAGUCCCAAAUGGCUCUGCAGUUCUAAAACAAACAAACAGAAACAGAGCAGUUUUUUAUAUGUUGGAUCAUCCCUUCUCUACUUCUCCUUUCAAGAUUCAUUCAAGAACAGGAAAAGUAUAUUAAACAACUGGAACUGGAAAACCUUGCUGAUCUCUUCUAAAUUACCCAGCGAUCUACCAGUAGAUCAUGAUUUAUCCCUUAUCUACACAUGUUCAAACACACACAAAGUGUUAAGAGGAAAUGUGGCUUUGAAUGAGCUAUGCUCCGGAUGAUAAAUGCUCCCUACAGCCAAAGAAGAAUGAUGCAAGCUUCCCAUUUUUCAAAAAUGCAAUGGCAUUUUAAAAGAGGAGGAGGGAAGCAGAAAGCAUGAAGACAUGGAAACUAGUUGCUGUGAAGAGGCCAACAAGAGCCUAGAAGAGGAGAGAGGAGAAGAUGUGGGGGAAAAAUCCACCUACCUUCUUUCCUGGGUAGAUACAUGGAUCCAAUUUAUUGCAUUAGUUAUGAAUGUGAGCCUUUAAAUAGGCUCAGUUGGUAGUCCUGAAAACACACUACAGAUUGAAUUCAGAAUACUCACUUUGGGUAAAAAUGCCUCCAAAAUGUGCUGUAAGUUACCCAGAGACCCCUUAUGAAAUAGAUGGUGCAAAGAGAAUACAGAUUUCCCUAUUUAUAACAUUGAAGCAUAAGACACUAUGAUAAUCUGUUAGAAAAAUGCAGCAUACAGAUUGAAUAUACUGGUGUUAAGAACAACUAUUGAGGUUUUCUGAUAAUAUGAUGGCCCCAUCAAUAAUUCACUAAGAUCAAGUUCCCAACAAAGUAGGAUACAAUACAGUAUACUAUGAGUGAAGUUAUGAACAUUGGCUAAAUGUUUAUUUAAAAUUGCCCAUACUAUCUUCAAGAGAAGACACUAUCACUUCCUACAGCAAUACAUGUGCAUCACAUAUUUUCUGCUUUCCAGGAGAAACUUCUCAAAGUAGCCUUACAAACUUAAAAUGUUUGCCAAAAUGAUCCAUCAGUUACCAAUAAAAAUGUGGAGUCGAAUAAAA